AACGCACCUUGCGCUCCUUGGUAUUCCGAGGAGCAUGCCUGUUUGAGUGUCAUUAAAUUCUCAAUCUCUACAACUUUGUGUUGUUUAGAUUGGAUGUGGGGGUUUUUGUGUGGGAUCUAAUCUUCCUCACUCCCCUUAAAUGUAUUAGCCGGAAUGCUUCUGCAAGUCUGACUAUCGGUGUGAUAAUUAUCUAUACUGUAGUUGUUGCAUGAAGGAAUCUGCUUCAUAAACCGUCGAAAGACAAACCCAAUGACCAUCUUGACCUCAAAUCAGGUAGGACUACCCGCUGAACUUAA
rnacentral:misc_RNA from 1 species